ACGACCAAAAUUUCAGACACUGUGUUUCAAAUCGUGUAGCGCGCGCACGGCAGAGAGGGAGAGGGAGCGAGAGUGUAUGUGCUAGUGUGCGUGUGUGCGAAGCGCACGUAAGACAGAGAGCAUCCUGAUUGGCCUGUUUCGGCAAAUCAACCAAUCAAUUGUCAGUGUGGGCGGGCUUUUAUCUCUUCUCCCGAACCAAAUUAAUCAGUUAUGUCUAUCUAGAAACAGGAGCACAAUGGCAGAGGGAGAGUGCAAUGGAAAAUAAAUAAAAGCAGUACUAUUUUACAUAAAUAGUAUAAGCAGCUUAUAUAAAUAGUAAAAGUAAUCUACAUAUUUAAACAUAAUUAACGAAUAAUUGCACAGGCCUAUAGCUUAUAGAAAUAAUAUUUUAUGCUUUUAUAUUUUUUAUUAAUGUCAUGUUCUGUGGUGAAAUGUCAUAUCCUUGUCCUCCUUUCCCCCUUUUUUUUUUGGGGGGGGGGGGGGGGGGGGGGGGGGGGGGGGGGUGGGGGGGGGGGGGGGGUGGUUGGCUUCGGGAUACCUCCCUGAAAUGAAAUAAGUAUGGUUGGGAUGUCUGGGUUGCCUCCUCUGGUGGUAGUUUUGGAGAGCCCAGGACGCUACUGGCCCUCAGUCAAAGAUUAAGAGGAUAAGCUUCAGAGAAACUGACACAUACUCAGCUGUACGGUUAAUGCUCAGCUCUUGCCCCCUCCAUGUCUUCUCUUCCAGCAGAAGUCGUACUUCAAGAGCAGUCAGUGGGAUACACACAUAUAUUUUUUGCAGGGCUGGAGCGGGACUCAUUUUGAGCUCUGGAGUUUCAUGCCUUAGACCGGCCCACUUCAGUUCACCACUGAGCUAUACUAAAAUAAUGUAAUUUAAACUUCAGUACAUAAGUCUGCAAUACUGCACUGUUCUCUACAGCCUUGUAAUUCAUUCUAUUUUUCUAGAGCUUUCCUGUUUUUUUUUUUUUUUAUAUAUAUACUGGCCUUUUCAGUGCCAUCUGUGCAAUUUCUAUUAUUCAUUUUUUACCUAUAAUUUUGUGCUCGCAUAUCUCCAACAACCGACUUGUUUUUUUUCAAGGUGCUGCUGUCUGGGAGUCAACAGAUAAUUGCCAAUUAACUUAAAUGGAAAAUAAGGGAAUAUUGUGAUUCUUUAUAAGAAAAUAAGGGACAGAAUGAGGGACGGUCAAAAUAUUUGUACUGUACCAUAAUGUAUGUCUGCCUGCAGUUAAAAAGUUCUCAGAAAUAAUCACAUUUGUUCUGGUUAACCUAUUUAUGUACAAUUAUUCUAAAAAUAAUUUUUAAUGUAAUCUAAAAAAAUGUAAAUUGUACCAUUAUAGAAGUGUGACUGCACAAGUAGUGAAGUAAUUUAGGAGGUGAAGAUACUGUGAAAUUACACACGCACAAAUGGCAUGAGAUAUAAAGCAUAACAACUGAAGAUCUGUGAAGCGUCAGUCAAUAAAGCAUUUUUUAAACAAUAUGGCA
ensembl:lncRNA